UAGGGAUAAGAUAGGAGUUAUAUGAUCAUUUCAGUGUUUACCCACUUCCUCCCCGAUCCCACAUGGUGGUUGUCAAGGUUGGAAACAGGCGCAUGCAGAUUCUAUAGAGAAAAAAUGGAUUUUGAGGAAAGGCUCAGUGCUUCAGGAGGCUUCACUUGCCCACCACUACUUUUCGGUUUACAUCUGGAGUCACUUGCCAAACCUGAAUCGCUAUAAGUGUACCAACACAACUCCUACCUCAAAGCCCGUAAGUUCACAGAUUUUUACUCUUCCUUACACGUCCAGUGUUCAAGAUGCUUAACAUCCAAUCAGUGCCUGCAUAUUGUAACAUACAGUCAGCGUGGAAUUUCAUGUAGUGAAACAACAGUGGCCUCCUAACAUCUAACAAUUUUUCAUCUGUGAAAAAAUUAAAUACAAUGCUUAUACCAGCAUUUUAAAUGAUUAAAUACAAUCUUUUUUAAUACAAAACAUCUACAAACAUCCAUAUUUACAAUCAUCAGUUGGAUAUGAACACAUACAUUGGUAGCUAAAUUUGGUCUAAUAAUGUCUAACUGUUAACCUACAACUUGUGUUUUUUUUUUUACUUUUAUAAAAGACUUCCUACAAAGUGUCCUGCAUUUAAGAAAAACAGUUCACCUAUUCAUGUGGAAGUAAUGACCCUGCUCUGACUGUCAUGUUAACACAGGUGGAGCGGAAUAUGGCAGUAUGCCAUCCGUUUGAAGUCAGUGUCUCUCUGUUGGCAUUGUGUCUAAUGCUGUGUUUAGCUGCAAGUGUGUCACAAUUGCUGAUAUGUUGCAACUCCUGGAAUGGGUUGGAUGUUGGAUGUAAAUGUUUUAGAAAUCUUGACACCAAAUAAUUUUUUUGUGCCAAUGUCCUUAAAAUAAUUUAAAGCAUGCAUAAUCUUCAUCUUGCAGGAACCUUUGCUCGACACUUGAUCAGUUCUCACCCUGUUCGUCAUGGAGAUAUCAAAUUUCUGCUGCCUUAAACAAGUGUAAUUCAGUGAACCUGCAAUACUAAGUCUGUGGAAUGUUCCUAAAGUAGAAAACAAACCUUUUAUAGAAAAUGCAUAGUUCUGUAACUUGUUAAUAAAACAACUGUAGCUUUUGAUCUGAGUUAUUGGUAGAAAUUAGGAGACAAACUCUUAUUAGGAGUUAACUGGUGACAGGCAUAUAUUUAUUCCCUAAGUAUAUUUACUUAUUUUUUUCCUACGGACAUGUUACCAAUGAUUAGCAAUAUAUUUAAAUGCAACACUUUGUAUUUUGAAUGCAAUGACAUUUUUUUGUGGACUGUCAAUAUAAAAUAUAAUAAAAUAUAA